rnacentral:rRNA from 1 species
AGACAGGUGGUGCAUGGUUGUCGUCAGCUCGUGUCGUGAGAUGUUGGGUUAAGUCCCGCAACGAGCGCAACCCUUAUUGUUAGUUGCCAUCAUUAAGUUGGGCACUCUAACGAGACUGCCCGUGACAAACCGGAAGAAGGUGGGGAUGACGUCAAAUCAUCAUGCCCCUUAUGACCUGGGCUACACACGUGCUACAAUGGACGGUACAACGAGUCGCAAACCGCGAGGUUUAGCUAAUCUCUUAAAACCAUUCUCAGUUCGGAUUGUAGGCUGCAACUCGCCUACAUGAAGUCGGAAUCGCUAGUAAUCGCGGAUCAGCAUGCCGCGGUGAAUACGUUCCCGGGUCUUGUACACACCGAGA